rnacentral:rRNA from 1 species
AUCGACCCCGCGGCUUGGUACCUCGAUGUCGGCUCUUCCUAUCCUGGCCCUGCAUAAGGGGCCAAGGGUGAGGCUGCUCGCCUAUUAAAAGGGAACGUGAGCUGGGUUUAGACCGUCGUGAGACAGGUCGGACUUUAUCUGCUGGGAGUGCGGGCUGCCUGAGGGGAAAGGGUCCCUAGUACGAGAGGAACGGGACGCUGUGGCCUCUAGUUAACCGGUUGUCCGACAGGGCAGUUGCCGGGCAGCCACGCCGCUGAGGAUAAGGGCUGAAAGCAUCUAAGCCCGAAGCCUCUCCUGAAAAUAGGCAGCCAUUCCCGUUUCACGGGACGAAGGC